rnacentral:rRNA from 1 species
GAUGAACGCUGGCGGCGGGCCUAAUACAUGCAAGUCGAGCGAACGGACGAGAAGCUUGCUUCUCUGAUGUUAGCGGCGGACGGGUGAGUAACACGUGGAUAACCUACCUAUAAGACUGGGAUAACUUCGGGAAACCGGAGCUAAUACCGGAUAAUAUUUUGAACCGCAUGGUUCAAAAGUGAAAGACGGUCUUGCUGUCACUUAUAGAUGGAUCCGCGCUGCAUUAGCUAGUUGGUAAGGUAACGGCUUACCAAGGCAACGAUGCAUAGCCGACCUGAGAGGGUGAUCGGCCACACUGGAACUGAGACACGGUCCAGACUCCUACGGGAGGCAGCAGUAGGGAAUCUUCCGCAAUGGGCGAAAGCCUGACGGAGCAACGCCGCGUGAGUGAUGAAGGUCUUCGGAUCGUAAAACUCUGUUAUUAGGGAAGAACAUAUGUGUAAGUAACUGUGCACAUCUUGACGGUACCUAAUCAGAAAGCCACGGCUAACUACGUGCCAGCAGCCGCGGUAAUACGUAGGUGGCAAGCGUUAUCCGGAAUUAUUGGGCGUAAAGCGCGCGUAGGCGGUUUUUUAAGUCUGAUGUGAAAGCCCACGGCUCAACCGUGGAGGGUCAUUGGAAACUGGAAAACUUGAGUGCAGAAGAGGAAAGUGGAAUUCCAUGUGUAGCGGUGAAAUGCGCAGAGAUAUGGAGGAACACCAGUGGCGAAGGCGACUUUCUGGUCUGUAACUGACGCUGAUGUGCGAAAGCGUGGGGAUCAAACAGGAUUAGAUACCCUGGUAGUCCACGCCGUAAACGAUGAGUGCUAAGUGUUAGGGGGUUUCCGCCCCUUAGUGCUGCAGCUAACGCAUUAAGCACUCCGCCUGGGGAGUACGACCGCAAGGUUGAAACUCAAAGGAAUUGACGGGGACCCGCACAAGCGGUGGAGCAUGUGGUUUAAUUCGAAGCAACGCGAAGAACCUUACCAAAUCUUGACAUCCUUUGACAACUCUAGAGAUAGAGCUUUCCCCUUCGGGGGACAAAGUGACAGGUGGUGCAUGGUUGUCGUCAGCUCGUGUCGUGAGAUGUUGGGUUAAGUCCCGCAACGAGCGCAACCCUUAAGCUUAGUUGCCAUCAUUAAGUUGGGCACUCUAAGUUGACUGCCGGUGACAAACCGGAGGAAGGUGGGGAUGACGUCAAAUCAUCAUGCCCCUUAUGAUUUGGGCUACACGCGUGCUACAAUGGACAAUACAAAGGGCAGCGAAACCGUGAGGUCAAGCAAAUCCCAUAAAGUUGUUCUCAGUUCGGAUUGUAGUCUGCAACUCGACUACAUGAAGCUGGAAUCGCUAGUAAUCGUAGAUCAGCAUGCUACGGUGAAUACGUUCCCGGGUCU